CAUAUAUUCCGUCCGUUCGGAAAUACUUAUCCUAGAAAUAUACAAAAUGAAUGUAUCUAUAACUAAAUAAGUCUAGAUACAUCUAUUUUUAGGACAAGUAUUUCCGGACGAAAGGAGUACUUC
rfam:Hordeum vulgare subsp. vulgare, WGS project CAJW01000000 data, contig: morex_contig_1587034